rnacentral:rRNA from 1 species
ACGAACGCUGGCGGCGUGCUUAACACAUGCAAGUCGCACGGAAAGGCCCUGCUUUUGUGGGGUGCUCGAGUGGCGAACGGGUGAGUAACACGUGAGUAACCUGCCCUUGACUUUGGGAUAACUUCAGGAAACUGGGGCUAAUACCGGAUAGGAGCUCCUGCUGCAUGGUGGGGGUUGGAAAGUUUCGGCGGUUGGGGAUGGACUCGCGGCUUAUCAGCUUGUUGGUGGGGUAGUGGCUUACCAAGGCUUUGACGGGUAGCCGGCCUGAGAGGGUGACCGGCCACAUUGGGACUGAGAUACGGCCCAGACUCCUACGGGAGGCAGCAGUGGGGAAUAUUGCACAAUGGGCGGAAGCCUGAUGCAGCAACGCCGCGUGCGGGAUGACGGCCUUCGGGUUGUAAACCGCCUUCGCCUGUGACGAAGCGUGAGUGACGGUAAUGGGUAAAGAAGCACCGGCUAACUACGUG